AUAAAGUGCAUAGUGCUGGGUUUUGGAUUUGUGACUAAACCAGUGUUGAUAAGGAACCAGUGUUUUGGCUAUUGCUGAGCAAUACUGGCACAGUGUCUACUUGUGGGACAUGGAGUGAGCCCACCACACCUACACAUCCUUGCUUGCCUUCCUUGUUUGAGCCACAGGAUUCCUUCAGAGAAAGAAAACAUGCCUCUAACCAUAAAGGCAAUGAAGGAUACUACUUCAGUAAAAAGAAUUACAGCACACCAUCAGGGACCAUGAAGAUGAUCCUGUAUGGGAAUGACAGACAGCCUGUCAUCAGCAAUGCCUCCAAAGGAAUGCAGGAGACCUGCAAAAGGGUUGUCUCCUUAGACACUGCAAGCAACUGUAUGAACACCACCUCUAUGAAGAUACUUAGGUUCUUGCUUUACUGUCUUUAUUGUAAGAUGAUAAAGAGCUCUGUAAGUAUGCCCACUUAAUAAAAACAAGC